rnacentral:misc_RNA from 1 species
UUUCCGUAGGUGAACCUGCGGAAGGAUCAUUAACGAGUUAGGGUCUUCUAGGCCCGACCUCCCAACCCUAUGUUUAUUGAACCUCUGUUGCUUCGGCGGGCCCGUCUCACGACCGCCGGAGGACCGCUGCGAGGCGUCCUCUGGCCCGCGUCCGCCGAUAGCCAACCAAUUAACACUCUGAAUAAAUCGUGUCAUUAUGUCUAAGUCUAUGAUUAAAUUAAAGCAAAACUUUCAACAACGGAUCUCUUGGUUCUGGCAUCGAUGAAGAACGCAGC